rnacentral:rRNA from 1 species
GACGAACGCUAGCGGGAUGCCUUACACAUGCAAGUCGAACGGAGUGGCGAACGGGUGAGUAAUGUAUCGGAACGUGCCCAGUAGCGGGGGAUAACUACGCGAAAGCGUAGCUAAUACCGCAUACUAUUGGAGCGGCCGAUAUCGGAUUAGCUAGUUGGUGGGGUAACGGCUCACCAAGGCGACGAUCCGUAGCUGGUUUGAGAGGAAGACCAGCCACAAGGGGACGGAGAUACGGCCCAGACGCCUACGGGAGGCAGCAGUGGGGAAUUUGGGACAAUGGGGGAAACCCUUAUCCAGCCAUCCCGCGUGUGAGAUGAAGGCCUUCGGGUUGUAAAGUACUUUUGGCAGGAAAGCGGUACCUGCAGAAUAAGCACCGGCUAACUACGUGCCAGCAGCCGCGGUAAUUC